ACUCGCAGGAGCAAGGGGCCCGGCGCGGGCCUCCAGGGCGGGAGGCCCUGACGCGGGGAGGAGGCGGCCGGGCGGCCAAGGGCCUCCCUGGGGAGUGUGCGGAGGCCGGGACGGAGCAGCGCGUAACUAGGGAGAGGAUAGGCCGGGCUGGUGGAGAUGCGGGGAGAGACCAGCCAAAGCUAAAGAGCCAAAGCAAAGGUGCUGCGGGGAGGACAGAGGAGCGGGAGGAAAGGGGAAGGAGAGAAGAAAAGAGGCAGGGAAACCCGGAGAGAAAGUGGGAGGGAGGCCAAGGGGACAGGGGAGGGGUGGGAAGAACGUAGGGCGGGGAGCAGAAAGGAAGGAGGGAUCCAGAAAUGGACCCGGAGGGAGAGAGGAAGGCGGAGAGCAGCUGUGAGGGAGAGGCUUGGCGGGAGCCUCAGCAAAGAGGAGGAAGAGAGCAGAGGGAGAGGGCAGAUUUGUUGCCUAGGCACUGGCUGAGGGUCACGAUGGAAGGAGGCAGUAUUUAUUUUUUAAAUUUAUUUGACAUAUAUUUACAAGGCAACUACAUUGUCGGCACUGCCCUAGGCUCCAGGGCCACAGAGACAACCAUAGCUUCAGCCUCCUGCUCCGAAUGACAUCUCUCAGAAAUCUUCCCUGACUGUCCAGGCGGAAUUAAUGGUUCACUUCCCUGUUCCUCUAUACCUUGAGCAUCCCUCUACAAUUGAAUGCUCCUUCAUUCCAUUUCAUUGCACCAGCAUGUAUCGAGGGUCUACUGUUAUCUAUCGCUGAAGAGAAUGAUUGCAAAAAACUUGAAUGAACAUGGAAAAUGCUGAUGAUCAGAUUUCCAUUGAAAAGAAAGGUGUGCUCCUUGGGGUGGGGGUGUUGUUGUAAUUGUCAGAAAAUGUUUAAUAAAAGAAACAGAAA
rnacentral:lncRNA from 1 species